GAGGGCGUAGCUCAGCCGGUAGAGCAUCGGACUUUUAAUCCGCAGGUCCUGGGUUCGAAUCCCAGCGCCCUCA
rnacentral:tRNA from 1 species